CCCAUAUGGUCGACCUGCAGGCGGCCGCGAAUUCACUAGUGAUUCGUAUUACCGCGGCUGCUGGCACGGAGUUAGCCGGAGCUUAUUCUCCCGGUACUGUCAUUAUCAUCCCGGGUAAAAGAGCUUUACGACCCUAAGGCCUUCAUCACUCACGCGACAUUGCUGGAUCAGGCUUGCGCCCAUUGUCCAAUAUUCCCCACUGCUGCCUCCCGUAGGAGUCUGGACCGUGUCUCAGUUCCAGUGUGACUGAUCAUCCUCUCAGACCAGUUACGGAUCGUCGCCUUGGUGAGCCAUUACCCCACCAACUAGCUAAUCCGACCUAGGCUCAUCUGAUAGCGCAAGGCCCGAAGGUCCCCUGCUUUCUCCCGUAGGACGUAUGCGGUAUUAGCGUCCGUUUCCGAGCUUUAUCCCCCACUACCAGGCAGAUUCCUAGGCAUUACUCACCCGUCCGCCGCUCUCAAGAGGUGCAAGCACCUCUCUACCGCUCGACUUGCAUGUGUUAGGCCUGCCGCCAGCGUUCGUUCUGAGCCAUGAUCAAACUCUAAUCGAAUUCCCGCGGCCGCC
rnacentral:rRNA from 1 species